UGGAGGUAAAGAUGGAGGUUAAAGAUGGAGGGUAAAGAUGGAGGGUAAAGAUUGAGGUUAAAGAUGGAGGGUAAAGAUGGAGGGUAAAGAUGGAGGUUAAAGAUGGAGGGUAAAGAUGGAGGGUAAAGAUGGAGGGUAAAGAUGGAGGGUAAAGAUGGAGGGUAAAGAUGGAGGUUAAAUAUGGAGGUUAAAGAUGGAGGUUAAAGAUGGAGGGUAAAGAUGGAGGGUAAAGAUGGAGGUUAAAGAUGGAGGGUAAAGAUGG